UACGAAGGGGGCUAGCGUUGCUCGGAAUCACUGGGCGUAAAGCGCACGUAGGCGGAUUGCUAAGUCAGGGGUGAAAUCCUGGAGCUCAACUCCAGAACUGCCUUUGAUACUGGCGAUCUUGAGUCCGGGAGAGGUGAGUGGAACUGCGAGUGUAGAGGUGAAAUUCGUAGAUAUUCGCAAGAACACCAGUGGCGAAGGCGGCUCACUGGCCCGGUACUGACGCUGAGGUGCGAAAGCCAGGGGAGCAAACGGG
rnacentral:rRNA from 1 species